CUUCCGUAGGGGUGAACCUGCGGAAGGAUCAUUACAGAGUUCAUGCCCGAAAGGGUAGACCUCCCACCCUUGUGUAUUAUUACUUUGUUGCUUUGGCGAGCUGCCUUCGGGCCUUGUAUGCUCGCCAGAGAAUACCAAAACUCUUUUUAUUAAUGUCGUCUGAGUACUAUAUAAUAGUUAAAACUUUCAACAACGGAUCUCUUGGUUCUGGCAUCGAUGAAGAACGCAGCGAAAUGCGAUAAGUAAUGUGAAUUGCAGAAUUCAGUGAAUCAUCGAAUCUUUGAACGCACAUUGCGCCCCUUGGUAUUCCGGGGGGCAUGCCUGUUCGAGCGUCAUUUCAACCCUCAAGCUUAGCUUGGUAUUGAGUCUAUGUCAGUAAUGGCAGGCUCUAAAAUCAGUGGCGGCGCCGCUGGGUCCUGAACGUAGUAAUAUCUCUCGUUACAGGUUCUCGGUGUGCUUCUGCCAAAACCCAAAUUUUUCUAUGGUUGACCUCGGAUCAGGUAGGGAUACCCGCUGAACUUAAGCAUAUCAAUAAGCGGAGGAA
rnacentral:rRNA from 1 species